UACAGAGGGUGCGAGCGUUAAUCGGAAUUACUGGGCGUAAAGCGCGCGUAGGCGGCUUUGCAAGUCGAGUGUGAAAUCCCCAGGCUUAACCUGGGAACUGCAUUCGAGACUGCAUAGCUAGAGUAUGGGAGAGGAAGUGGAAUUUCAGGUGUAGCGGUGAAAUGCGUAGAUAUCUGAAGGAACAUCAGUGGCGAAAGCGACUUCCUGGACCAAUACUGACGCUCAUGUGCGAAAAGCGUGGGGAGCAAACAGG
rnacentral:rRNA from 1 species